rnacentral:ncRNA from 1 species
UAGUCGCGACUGUUGUCAUAGUCAACAAAGUUGAAACUUCGAGGAAAAAACUUUGAAUUGGGAGCGCGAUCUUCUUGGUGAACUGACCGUAACCCAAACUGACAUAGGUGAACAAGUACAGUAUACUAGGGUGCUUGAGAGAAUCAUGUCGAAGGAGCUCGGCAAAAUGACCCCGUAACUUUGGGAGAAGAGGUGUUCUCCUAUCUUUUGAUUAGGAAAGCGGCACAUACCAGGGGGUAGUGACUGUUUAUUAAAAACACAGGACUCUGCUAAGUGGUAACACAAUGUAUAGAGACUAACACCUGCCCGGUGCCGGAAGGUCAGAAGGAGAAGUGUUAUAAGCUUUGAAAGGAAGCCCUAGUAAACCGCGGCAGUAACUCUAACUAUCCUAAGGUAGCGAAAUUCCUUGUCGCAUAAGUACCCAAUAUAAUAUAACGCAUCACCUUCGUCAGCAUAGAUUGAAAACAUAAUAUUUAAUGAAG